rnacentral:rRNA from 1 species
UACGUAGGGUGCGAGCGUUGUCCGGCAUUACUGGGCGUACAGAGCUCGUAGGUGGUUUGUCGCGUUGUCCGUGAAAACUCACAGCUUAACUGUGGGCGUGCGGGCGAUACGGGCAGACUGGAGUACUGCAGGGGAGACUGGAAUUCCUGGUGUAGCGGUGGAAUGCGCAGAUAUCAGGAGGAACACCGGUGGCGAAGGUGGGUCUCUGGGCAGUAACUGACGCUGAGGAGCGAAAGCGUGGGGAGCGAACAGG